UGUACCCCCCAUUGUAACACGUGUGUAGCCCCGGACGUAAGGGCCGUGCUGAUUUGACGUCAUCCCCACCUUCCUCACAUCUUACGACGGCAGUCUCUCUAGAGUCCUCAGCAUGACCUGUUAGUAACUAAAGAUAAGGGUUGCGCUCGUUAUGGCACUUAAGCCGACACCUCACGGCACGAGCUGACGACAACCAUGCAGCACCUUCACAUUUGUCUUACAACUAUACUGUUUCCAAUAUAUUCAAAUGCAAUUUAAGCCCGGGUAAGGUUCCUCGCGUAUCAUCGAAUUAAACCACAUGUUCCUCCGCUUGUGCGGGCCCCCGUCAAUUCCUUUGAGUUUCACCGUUGCCGGCGUACUCCCCAGGUGGAAUACUUAAUGCUUUCGCUUGGCCGCUUACUGUAUAUCGCAAACAGCGAGUAUUCAUCGUUUACUGUGUGGACUACCAGGGUAUCUAAUCCUGUUUGAUACCCACACUUUCGAGCAUCAGUGUCAGUUGCAGUCCAGUGAGCUGCCUUCGCAAUCGGAGUUCUUCGUGAUAUCUAAGCAUUUCACCGCUACACCACGAAUUCCGCCCACCUCUACUGUACUCAAGACAGCCAGUAUCAACUGCAAUUUUACGGUUGAGCCGCAAACUUUCACAACUGACUUAACUGUCCACCUACGCUCCCUUUAAACCCAAUAAAUCCGGAUAACGCUCGGAUCCUCCGUAUUACCGCGGCUGCUGGCACGGAGUUAGCCGAUCCUUAUUCAUAUGGUACAUACAAAAUUCCACACGUGGAAAACUUUAUUCCCAUAUAAAAGAAGUUUACAACCCAUAGGGCAGUCAUCCUUCACGCUACUUGGCUGGUUCAGGCCUGCGCCCAUUGACCAAUAUUCCUCACUGCUGCCUCCCGUAGGAGUUUGGACCGUGUCUCAGUUCCAAUGUGGGGGACCUUCCUCUCAGAACCCCUAUCCAUCGAAGGUUUGGUGAGCCGUUACCUCACCAACUGCCUAAUGGAACGCAUC
rnacentral:rRNA from 1 species